UACAGGGGGGGCAAGCGUUGUUCGGAAUUACUGGGCGUAAAGGGCUCGUAGGUGGCCAACUAAGUCAGACGUGAAAUCCCUCAGCUUAACUGGGGAACUGCGUCUGAUACUGGAUGGCUUGAGUUUGGGAGAGGGAUGCGGAAUUCCAGGUGUAGCGGUGAAAUGCGUAGAUAUCUGGAGGAACACCGGUGGCGAAGGCGGCAUCCUGGACCAACACUGACGCUCAUGCACGAAAGCGUGGGGAGCAAACAGG
rnacentral:rRNA from 1 species